UUUUUUUUUUUUUUUUUGGUGUGUGUGACACCUUUCCUCCCUGCUCCAGCCCCUGGCUCAAGGCAGCAGUUCAUCUGCUUUCCAGAAGAACAGUGAAUUUUCUAGGAUUUUUUUCUUAAUUUUUCUAUGAUUUAAAUGCAUUUUGUACAUUACACAUUAAUAAUAUUGAGUAUUUUGAGAAUCAAAUAAUAUGUAAAAAUGUGUUCAACUUUUAUAUUCAUAUCCUUUCACACCCUAAAAAUACCAUUAAUGAAUAUUUAAUACUAUUCAUAAUACUGUGGAUCCUAUAUCUAAUAUUGAAUACUAAAUUGUUUCAAAACAUACAAAAUAUUCUCUGGGAGUUAAGCGUAGUAAAAGAGCAUAAAAUAUUAAAAAUGAAUCAUUAAGAAAUAUAUUCAAAAGCCCUUAUAUGAUACCACCUGGCAUAGUGAGAGAGUAUUUAAAACAUAUUAUAUAUCUGUACACAUUGUCUAACAAUCAGUUUACUAGGAGAGAAAUUAAUUUUAUCACUAAGUCUAUUUUAAAAAAUUCAAAAUAGCAAAAACUCUGAAGUUAAACAUUAAGAAAAUACUAAUUUCAAGAACAGUGAGAAAAAUUAUCAAUAUUUCUAUGAUGCAUAAUAUUUUCAACUGUUGAUAUUCACCAAACAAAAUAAUUAUUUUAAGAUAUAAUUCUUUGUUAUGUCUCCCUUUUCAUUUUUGAUUUUAUUAAUUUGGAUACUAUCUCUGUGCCCUGUGGUUAGUCUGGGUUUAUCUAUCUUGUUGAUUUUCUCAAAGAACCAGCUCCUGGUUUUGUCAAUUCUUUAUAUACUUCUUUUUGUUUCUAUUUGGUUAAUUUCAGACCUGAGUUUGAUUAUUUCCUGCCAUCUACUCCUCUUGGGUAUAUUUGCUUCCUUUAGUUCUACAGGUUUCAGGUGUACUGUCAAGCUGCUAGUGUAAGUUCUUUUCAGUUUCUUUUUGAAGGCACUUAGAGCUAUGAGUUUUCCUCUUACCACUGCUUUCAUUGUGUCCCAUAAGUUUUGGUAUGAUGUGUCUUCAUUUCCAUUAAAUUCUAAAAAAAAUCUUUAAUUUCUUUAUUUCUUUCUUGACCAAGUUAUCAUUGAGUAGGGCGUUGUUUAGCUUCUGUGUGUAUGUGUGCUUUCCGUUGUUUUUGUUGGUAUUUAAGGCCAGCCUUCAUCUGUGGUGAUCUGAUAGGGUGCAUGGGGUUAUUUCGGUCUUCUUGUAUCUGUUGAGGCUGUUUUGUGACUGAUUUAUAUGGUCAGUUUUGGAGAAGGUACCGUGAGGUGCUUUAGAAUGAAAUGUUCUAUAGAUAUUUGUUAAAUCCAUUUGGUUCAUAAGUUCUAUUAGUUUUACUGUGUCUCUGUUUAGUUUGUGUUUCCAUGAUCUGUCCAUUGAUGAGAGUGGGGUGUUGAAGUCGUCCACCAUUAUUGUGUAAGGUACAAUGUGUGCUUUGAGCUUUAGUAAAGUUUCUUUUAUGAAUGUGGCUGCCCUUGCAUUUGGAGCGUAGAUGUUCAGAAUUGAGAGUUCAUCUUGGUAGAUUUUUCCUUGGACCAGUAUGGAGUGUCCUUCCUUAUCUUUUUUGAUAACUUUUGGUUGACAGUUGAUUUUAUUCCAUAUUAGAAUGGUUAUUUGAUCUUUUUCCCCCCCUUACUGCUUUAGAUAUCCUUUCUUUCUUUACUGCGUUUGGUGUUUUGAUUAUUAUAUGAUGAGAAGAAUUUCUUUUCUGGUCCAGUCUAUUUGGAGUUCUGUAGGCUUCUUGUAUGUUCAUGGGCACCUCUUUCUUUAGGUUAGGGAAGUUUUUUUUUUUUUUUCCCUAUAAUUUUGUUGAAGAUAUUUACUGGCCCUUUAAGCUGGGAAUCUUCGCUCUCUUCUAUACCUAUUAUCCUUAAGUUUAGUCUUCUCGUUGUGUCCUGAUUUCCUGGAUGUUUUGGGUUAGGAGCUUUUUGCGUUUUCUUUUACAGUUGUGUCAAUGUUUUCUAUGGUGUCUUCUGCACCUGAGAUUCUCUCUUCUAUCUCUUGUAUUCUGUUGCUAGAUCUUCUAACUCCAGGGUUGUCUCCCUUUGUGAUUUCUUUAUGGUUUCUGUUUCCUUUUUUAGAUCUUAGAUGGUUUUGUUCAUUUCCUCCCCCUAUUUGAUUGUGUUUUCCUAUAAUUCUUUAAGGGGUUUUUAUGUUUCCUUUUUAAGGACUUAUAGCUGUUUUCCUGUGUUCUCCUGUAUUUCUUUAAGGGCGUUAUUUAUGUCCUUCUUAAAUUCCUCUAUCAUUAUCAUGAGAAGUGAUUUUAGAUCUGAAUCUUGCUUUUCUGGUGUGAAGGUGUAUCCAAGACUUGCUAUGGUGGGAGAAUUGGGAUCUGAUGAUGCCAAGUAACCUUGGUUUCUGUUGCUUAUGUUCUCAUGCUUGCCUCCCGCCAUCUGAAUAUCUCCAGUGCUACCUGCUCUAUUUAUAUCUGACUGGAGCCCGUCCUUCCUGUGUCAGAACUCCUCAGAGUCCAGCUGUCUCUGGGAUCCUGAGAUCCUGGGUGUGUCAGAGCUCCUGGGAGUCAAGCUGCCUCUGGGGCCCUGAGAUCCUGGUGUGACCAAGCUCCUGGGAUCCUGGGAUCCUGUGGUCCUGGGCGUGUUAGAGCGCCUUCAAGUGGAUCUUCCUCUGGGUGUUGUGGGACUGGCUGUGGAGUUUGCGCUGGCCCAGACAGGAAGGAACCUAUGCCACUGGUCUGGCGGAGUUCCUGGGUGCCUGGGUCUCACUGGUCCUAGAUACUUCUGGUGUUAGGACAGAUGUUGUGUCCUCCUCACCUCUGAUCCUAUGAUCCUGGGAGUGUUGGAGCGCCUGGGAGUGGGUCUUCCUCUGCCUGUUAUGGAACUGGUUGUGGAGUUCACACCCAAGGUCUGCUCAGGGCACUGGUCCAGAUCUGCUUUAAACUCUUGAAAAAAUACAAUUCUAUCAUGCUAUAACUUAUUUUAAUUUUAUGAUUCAGUGAAUUUUAAUUAGUUUACAGAAUGCUGCAACAAUUUCUGUAAGUCAAACUAAACAUAUUUUUCAUUACUUUAAGAAGGUAUUUUAUAGGCCGGGCGUGGUACAUGCCUUUAAUCCCAGCACUUGGGAGGCAGAGGAAGGCAAAUUUCUGAGUUUAAGUCCAGCCUGGUCUACAGAGUGAGUUCUAGGACAACCAGGGCUACACAGAGAAACCCUGUCUCG
rnacentral:lncRNA from 1 species